AUCCAUACUUCUCGACGGUCGAGCCCGGGCAUCCAUCUUGGCAAUCUUGGUUUGCUAUGUGCACUGGUGCCCCGUACGGCUGUGAUGGCGACGAGGGGGACACGCUGCUCCCGAUAGAAUAAGGGAGCUCCUACGUAAAAAGAGGAUGGAAGAAGAAAGUGAGAUGCAAGACAAAUCGUUGCUCGCAGCUGCACUGCAUUUUUGGGGAGGUACAUCUGAUACAUCUCUAUGCAAUUAAACUAACAUUUCUGAGAUAUUGCUCUAGGAUAAUAUUCUUUUUUCUUCUAUCGGUAAUUUAAAGUAGAUAAAAGGAAGAAAAAAAAACGCUGAUAAAAAUUAAACGAUACAGGAAUAAAGUGAAUUUUUUGUCAAGGAGACAUUAAGUGAUAUUCUUUUCAGAAAGAAAGAGAAAGAGAGAGAGAGAGAGAGAGAGAGAGAGAGAAAGAAAGAAAAAGAGAGAAAGAGAAGGGCGAGAGGACAGAGAGAGAGAGAGAGAGAGAGAGAGAGAGACAGAGAGGGAUGGAAACGUAAUCGAUUGUAGGUCGUUAAAGGUGCGAUAAGAAAUUUACGAUAUAUCGUUAAUCAAAAGAAAUAUUCUAUUCAAAUACAAUAUUAUUGAGUUUAUUAGUUA